CUGAGCGCCUGUGUGUGUGCGUGUGUGUGUGAGCGUGCGCGCGCGGGCUGGCGGGCGCGUGUGCGCGUGGCUGCGCGCUCGGCCGCUCGGCGCGCUCGGCAAUCGAUUACAGGACAAGUGCUGCCCCGGCGGCGCCGAGACGCGCGCUCUACUUCGCGCCCACCCGCGCGCCCGGCCGCGUCGCCCCCGGCCCCGGCCGCGGACACGGACCCCGCCCCCCAAGGGGGCCAGGUGACCCGCCCUCCAGCGAGCCGCAGGGUUCCUCCCUCCGCUCUCUUUACCGGUUCAUAAUAAAUCUCACGUUUGCUGCCGGCUGUGAAGGAAGGAUUGAAACGGAUAUGGAACAAUGGUCUCACUUACUCCUGUUGACCUAGAUUGGCACUAUGAAGAAGCAAGGAAGCCAGAAAUGGAACCAUGGUUUCAAAGAAAAUAUUCUAAAAUACUUAUUCAUGAAUAAGAGCUCAAGUAAUUUACAUCAGAAAUGCCAAUGGUGGAGAUACCCCAGCUGCUGGUGAAGAUGCGUGAACAGGUCCAAACAAUGGUGUGUUUAGACAAAUAAAACUGUAUUGAAUAAAAAGAAAAAAAU